UCCAACCCACACCUGGGGACACCUGGGGACAUCCCACCCACACCUGGGGACAUCCCACCCACACCUGGGGACAUCUGGGGACACCUGGGGACAUCCCACCCACACCUGGGGACACCUGGGGACACCCCACCCACACCUGGGGACAUCCCAUCCACACCUGGGGACAUCCAACCCACACCUGGGGACACCUGGGGACAUCCCACCCACACCCGGGGACAUCCCACCCACACCUGGGGACAUCUGGGGACACCUGGGAACAUCCCACCCACACCUGGGGACAUCCCACCCACACCUGGGGACAUCCCACCCACACCUGGGGACAUCCAACCCACACCCGGGGACACCUGGGGACAUCCCACCCACACCUGGGGACAUCUGGGGACACCUGGGGACAUCCCACCCACACCUGGGGACACCUGGGGACAUCCCACCCACACCUGGGGACACCCCACCCACACCUGGGGACACCCCCUGGGAGCUGAUGGGUCCCUGAUCCCGCAGGGUGCUCAGGGGUCCCUGAUCCCGCUGGGAGCUGGGGGACGCGGUGGGAUCCCCACAGGAACAGAUCCUGGGUCCUGCCGGAGGACGGGAUGGGAGCAGAUCCCAAACCCCAGGGCGGGAUGGAGGAGGACACGCCGGGUCCUGCAGGCAGCGGGGGAUCGGGGGAUGAGGCUGGAUCCCGUGUCCUGCAUGGUGUGGGAUCCCCUGUCCCACCAGGGCAUCGAUCGAUCGAUCCCAGACCCUCCCGGGCUGUCGCAGGAGCAACCAGGGAUUCCCUGAAGAACCCCCAAAACCUCCUGAUCUUCCCCUAAAAUGCCGCUACUCCGAGAUGCCUGGGAUGCCCCGGGGCUGGGAGCGUCGAUCACAGCGAUUACCGAAGUUGCGGUGAUUAACCCCAAUUCCCGAGAGGCCAAGACCGCGUCGCCCCGCCCGUCUGGGCGCGCAGACACCGCCGGACCGGACGCGGCGGCACUGACCACGCCAGGCGACUAGGCCCCAAACGGGGGCACCGGGAGCCGCGGCAGCACCGGUACCGGGAGGCUGGGAGCACCGGGAGCGCCGGGAGCGAGCGCUGCGGUGUCCAGCUCCACGCCACCAGCAGUACUGGCCAGACCAGCCACACGCCACAGCA
rnacentral:lncRNA from 1 species